GACGAACGCUGGCGGCGUGCUUAACACAUGCAAGUCGAACGGAAAGGCCCCUUUGUGGGUACUCGAGUGGCGAACGGGUGAGUAACACGUGAGUAACCUGCCCUUGACUUCGGGAUAACUUCAGGAAACUGGGGCUAAGACCGGAUAGGAAUCCUUGCUGCAUGGUGGGGGUUGGAAAGCUUCGGCGGGUUUGGAUGGACUCGCGGCCUAUCAGCUUGUUGGUGGGGUAGUGGCUUACCAAGGCUUUGACGGGUAGCCGGCCUGAGAGGGCGACCGGCCACAUUGGGACUGCGAUACGGCCCAGACUCCUACGGGAGGCAGCAGUGGGGAAUAUUGCACAAUGGGCGGAAGCCUGAUGCAGCAACGCCGCGUGCGGGAUGACGGCCUUCGGGUUGUAAACCGCUUUCAGCAGGGGCGAAGCUUGUGGUGACGGUACCUGAAGAAGAAGCACCGGCUAACUACGUG
rnacentral:rRNA from 1 species